AUUCAGAUCACCUGGGCAUCUUGUUCCAGGACAUGUUUAGAUUCAAUAGAUUUGGCAUAGGUUAUAAAAUUGUAUAUUUCUAACAAGCUUUCAGGUGAUGCUGAU
rnacentral:pre_miRNA from 1 species